rnacentral:rRNA from 1 species
GAACGCUGGCGGCAUGCCUUACACAUGCAAGUCGAACGGCAGCACGGGUACUUGUACCUGGUGGCGAGUUGCGAACGGGUGAGUAAUACAUCGGAACGUACCUUAUCGUGGGGGAUAACGCAGCGAAAGCUGUGCUAAUACCGCAUACGCCCUGAGGGGGAAAGCAGGGGAUCGAAAGACCUCGCGCGAUUAGAGCGGCCGAUGCCUGAUUAGCUUGUUGGUGGGGUAAAAGCCCACCAAGGCGACGAUCAGUAGCUGGUCUGAGAGGACGAUCAGCCACACUGGGACUGAGACACGGCCCAGACUCCUACGGGAGGCAGCAGUGGGGAAUUUUGGACAAUGGGGGAAACCCUGAUCCAGCAAUGCCGCGUGAGUGAAGAAGGC